GGGGGAAGAGGGAUGAGGAGGUUAAGUCUGAAGACCGCUCAUUCAGCAAGAAGCCAGCGAGGAAGACCGAAAGGGAAGCAAGGGUUGAACCACGGCAAUAGAUGCAAGGAGACCCCGUGGUGAUGCAGGCGUGGCUCGCUUGGAUAAUGGUACAGCACCUUCAUUCAUUGUUAUUUACAGCAUAUUCCUGGUGAUGUGACUUCCUCGUGUGGUGAGCGCUGAUCCUCUCUUCAGCCAGCAUCAUGCUUUUCCUAUCAUUAUUUUAUUGCAUCUUGUAAUGAACUUCGUGUGUUAGACCGUGUGGACUGAUAGUGGUGUUGGUUAAUAAGCAGCAGCAAUGUUUAAGUCAGUCAAAAGACACUCUCCCAAAAUAAAUAAAUAUUUAUUGUUUUUA